rnacentral:rRNA from 1 species
GCGGAGGAAAAGAAACCAACAGGGAUUGCCCUAGUAACGGCGAGUGAAGCGGCAACAGCUCAAAUUUGAAAUCUGGCCUUCUGGUCCGAAUUGUAAUUUGUAGAGGAUGUUUUUGGUUAGGUACCUUCCGAGUUCCUUGGAACAGGACGCCUUAGAGGGUGAGAGCCCCGUACGGUUGGAUGCCGAGCCUUUGUAAAACUCCUUCGACGAGUCGAGUAGUUUGGGAAUGCUGCUCUAAAUGGGAGGUAAAUUUCUUCUAAAGCUAAAUACCGGCCAGAGACCGAUAGCGCACAAGUAGAGUGAUCGAAAGAUGAAAAGCACUUUGAAAAGAGGGUUAAAUAGUACGUGAAAUUGUUGAAAGGGAAGGGCUUAUGACCAGACCUUUGCCUUGCGGAUCAUCCGGUGUUCUCACCGGUGCACUUCGCUUGGUUUAGGCCAGCAUCGAUUUUGGUAGGGGGAUAAAGACUUUAGUAAUGUGGCUCCUCCGGGAGUGUUAUAGACUAUUGUGUAAUACCUUUACUGGGAUCGAGGACCGCGCUUCGGCUAGGAUGCUGGCAUAAUGGUCAUCAGCCACCCGUCUUGAAACACGGACCAAGGAGUCGAACAUUUAUGCGAGUGUUUGGGUGUUAAACCCUCACGCGUAAUGAAAGUGAACGGAGGUGAGAGCCCUUUCGGGUGCAUCAUCGACCGAUCCUGAUGUCUUCGGAUGGAUUUGAGUAAGAGCAUAACUGUUCGGACCCGAAAGAUGGUGAACUAUGCGUGGAUAGGGUGAAGCCAGAGGAAACUCUGGUGGAGGCUCGCAGCGGUUCUGACGUGCAAAUCGAUCGUCAAAUCUGCGCAUGGGGGCGAAAGACUAAUCGA